GCCGGUGUGAUGGAAUUGGCAGACGUGAUGGACUCAAAAUCCAUUGGUAGCGAUACCGUGCCGGUUCGAGUCCGGCCACCGGCACCA
rnacentral:tRNA from 3 species